rnacentral:misc_RNA from 1 species
CGUGUUAACGACAAAAACACGAGGCAGGUGUCGUAAGGGAAAAGGUGUCGUAAAGGAAAAGGAACAAGAGGAACGCAGGCGAAUGAAAGGUUCGUCACACUGGAAAGCAGAGCCAUGUCUCGGGUGUCACGGGGUCAUCGCUUGGCAAUGGGCAGCAGCAGUCACGCACCGUGAACCUGGACCGCACUCCGAUUUCGUGUCACUUGGUUAGUUUCAGGCUCACGCGGCGACAAACAGAAGUCCGCCAGUCCUUUGUCAAAGGAUCCUUCAACACUUCUCCUCGGACCAUUCACAGUAUCCGUCAUCGUCACGUCUCAAUCGUCCCUAUUUAACCCUUUGUGGCCCAGGCGGACAUCCAGAGACCCACCUAUAUUCCGUCAGUUUUUUAUGUUUUAUGAGCAGUUUUAAUGAUCGAUUUCUUAGCAAUUAUAUUUUGUAGCUUCUUAAGACCCUAACUAGUGUAAAAUGAUUACUUAUAAAUUCUUUAAAUUUAU